GACGAACGCUGGCGGCGUGCCUAAUACAUGCAAGUAGAACGCUGAGGUUUGGUGUUUACACUAGACUGAUGAGUUGCGAACGGGUGAGUAACGCGUAGGUAACCUGCCUCAUAGCGGGGGAUAACUAUUGGAAACGAUAGCUAAUACCGCAUAAGAGUAAUUAACACAUGUUAGUUAUUUAAAAGGAGCAAUUGCUUCACUGUGAGAUGGACCUGCGUUGUAUUAGCUAGUUGGUGAGGUAAAGGCUCACCAAGGCGACGAUACAUAGCCGACCUGAGAGGGUGAUCGGCCACACUGGGACUGAGACACGGCCCAGACUCCUACGGGAGGCAGCAGUAGGGAAUCUUCGGCAAUGGACGGAAAUCUGACCGAGCAACGCCGCGUGAGUGAAGAAGGUUUUCGGAUCGUAAAGCUCUGUUGUUAGAGAAGAACGUUGGUAGGAGUGGAAAAUCUACCAAGUGACGGUAACUAACCAGAAAGGGACGGCUAACUACGUGCCAGCAGCCGCGGUAAUACGUAGGUCCCGAGCGUUGUCCGGAUUUAUUGGGCGUAAAGCGAGCGCAGGCGGUUCUUUAAGUCUGAAGUUAAAGGCAGUGGCUUAACCAUUGUACGCUUUGGAAACUGGAGGACUUGAGUGCAGAAGGGGAGAGUGGAAUUCCAUGUGUAGCGGUGAAAUGCGUAGAUAUAUGGAGGAACACCGGUGGCGAAAGCGGCUCUCUGGUCUGUAACUGACGCUGAGGCUCGAAAGCGUGGGGAGCAAACA
rnacentral:rRNA from 1 species